CGGCGGAGCGGCGCUCUGGUCAGGUUCCUCUGCUUCGAGGGCGGCGCGUGGGCUGAUGUCGAGGGCGAGGCGGCUGUGCCUCUGCGCCGGGCGUUCCUGGACGGGAGGGUGGUCGCAGAGGCCGCGUAUGGCGGCAGGGAGUUCCUGUUUGACUUCCUGUGGAUGGUGUGCAUCGGCGCUGGCACCGCCGAGGUGGUCGCCAUGGGCUGGAUUGACCGCGGGGCCUGCUUCUUCCAUGUGCCAGAAAGCGGGAGGAAGAGGGGCGAGCAUGAGCUGGGGGACGGGGCGUCGUCCGAGGUGGAUGAGAGGUCCGACGAGAGUAGCGACAUGGUGGAGUCCUCAAUCCAGCCUAAUCUCCUGCCACUCUCAAGCACUCCCCGUGCAGCAGGCCUGAUGUGUAGGCUGCCAUGGCAAGGCUACAUCCAUGCAUUCGGUACUGCUAUCUCCCCCUCUCUCUCCUGA
rnacentral:rRNA from 1 species